GAUGAACGCUAGCUACAGGCUUAACACAUGCAAGUCGAGGGGAAACGACAUCGAAAGCUUGCUUUUGGUGGGCGUCGACCGGCGCACGGGUGAGUAACGCGUAUCCAACCUGCCCACCACUUGGGGAUAACCUUGCGAAAGUAAGACUAAUACCCAAUGAUAUCCCACGAAGGCAUCGGAAUGGGAUUAAAGAUUUAUCGGUGAUGGAUGGGGAUGCCGUCUGAUUAGCUUGUUGGCGGGGUAACGGCCCACCAAGGCUACGAUCAGUAGGGGUUCUGAGAGGAAGGUCCCCCACAUUGGGAACUGAGACACGGUCCAAACUCCUACGGGAGGCAGCAGUGAGGAAUAUUGGGUCAAAUGGGGCGAGAGCCUGAACCAGCCCAAGUAGCGUGCAGGAUGACGGCCUAUGGUUGUAAACUGCUUUUAUAAGGGGAUAAAAGUGAGUACUCGUGAGACUUUUUGCAUGUACCUUAUGAAUAAGGACCGGCUAAUUCCGUG
rnacentral:rRNA from 1 species